rnacentral:lncRNA from 1 species
GUGUUUAGACUAUAUUGUAUUGUACACAUAUAUUCUCUACGAGAGUAAUAGUCUAAAAGACUUGUACACAAUCGUUGAUUGCAAUUAUGAAGAGAAUGAAAACACUUGUUAAACUCAGUUGAGUGAAGGAAAUCUAGGCAGUGUAUCAGAGGAUACCUAAAUUGUCUAGUACCGGGAGUGGUGCGAAUACUUAUCCCAUCUAGGGUAACAAAAUGUUAUUCACUGGCUGAGGAUACUAGGAGUGGUGCAAAUACUCAUCCAGUCUAAGGUAAUGGAAGGUUAUUCGCU